rnacentral:rRNA from 1 species
GCAGCAGCCGCGGUAAUACGAGGGGGGCAAGCGUUGUUCGGAAUUAUUGGGCGUAAAGGGUGCGUAGGCGGUUUGGCAAGUCUUGUGUGAAAUCUUCGGGCUCAACCCGAAGCCUGCACGAGAAACUGCCGGGCUUGAGUAUUGGAGAGGUGAGUGGAAUUUCCGGUGUAGAGGUGAAAUUCGUAGAUAUUGGGAAGAACACCGGUGGCGAAGGCGGCGACCUGGUCCUUGACUGACGCUGAGGCGCGUAAGCGUGGGGAGCAGACAGGAUUAGAUACCCGAGUAGUCCCUGUCUCUUAUAC